rnacentral:rRNA from 1 species
GAACGAACGUUAGCGGCGCGCUUAACACAUGCAAGUCGAGCGAGAAAGGGCUUCGGCCCCGGUAAAGCGGCGCACGGGUGAGUAACACGUAGGUAAUCUGCCUUCCGGUGGUGGAUAACGUUCCGAAAGGAACGCUAAUACAGCAUGAGACCACGGUGUCGAGAGACGCAGAGGUCAAAGCGGGCCAAUGAAAUCAAGCUCGCGCCGGAAGAUGAGCCUGCGGCCCAUCAGCUAGUUGGUAGGGUAAUGGCCUACCAAGGCGAAGACGGGUAGCUGGUCUGAGAGGAUGAUCAGCCACACUGGAACUGAGACACGGUCCAGACUCCUACGGGAGGCAGCAGUGGGGAAUCUUGCGCAAUGGGCGAAAGCCUGACGCAGCGACGCCGCGUGAGUGAUGAAGGCCUUCGGGUUGUAAAGCUCUGUGGAGAGGGACGAAUAAGUGCUGGCGAAUAACCAGUGCGAUGACGGUACCUCUUUAGCANGCACCGGCUAACUCUGUGCCAGCAGCCGCGGNAAGACAGAGGGUGCAAACGUUGUUCGGAAUUACUGGGCGUAAAGCGCGUGUAGGCGGCUCUGCAAGUCGGAUGUGAAAGCCCUGGGCUCAACCCAGGAAGUGCAUUCNAAACUGCAGAGCUUGAGUCCCGGAGAGGAAGGCGGAAUUCUCGGUGUAGAGGUGAAAUUCNUANAUAUCGAGAGGAACACCGGUGGCGAANGCGGNCUUCUGGACGGCGACUGACGCUGAGACNCGAAAGCGUGGGGAGCA